rnacentral:rRNA from 1 species
AUUGAACGCUGGCGGCAGGCCUUACACAUGCAAGUCGAGCGAGAAAUUUUCUUCGGAAAAGAGUAAAGCGGCGGACGGGUGAGUAACGCGUAGGAAUCUACCUAGUAGUGGGGGACAACAUGUGGAAACGCAUGCUAAUACCGCAUACGCCCUAUGGGGGAAAGCAGGGGAUCUUCGGACCUUGUGCUAUUAGAUGAGCCUGCGUCGGAUUAGUUUGUUGGUAGGGUAAUGGCCUACCAAGACUACGAUCCGUAGCUGGUCUGAGAGGAUGAUCAGCCACACUGGGACUGAGACACGGCCCAGACUCCUACGGGAGGCAGCAGUGGGGAAUAUUGGACAAUGGGCGCAAGCCUGAUCCAGCCAUGCCGCGUGUGUGAAGAAGGCUCUAGGGUUGUAAAGCACUUUCAGUAGGGAGGAAAAGUUAGUAGUUAAUAACUGCUAGCCCUGACGUUACCUACAGAAGAAGCACCGGCAAACUCCGUGCCAGCAGCCGCGGUAAUACGGAGGGUGCGAGCGUUAAUCGGAAUUACUGGGCGUAAAGCGCGCGUAGGCGGUUUGAUAAGCUGGAUGUGAAAGCCCCGGGCUCAACCUGGGAACUGCAUCCAGAACUGUCUGACUAGAAUACAAUAGAGGUGAGUGGAAUUUCCUGUGUAGCGGUGAAAUGCGUAGAUAUAGGAAGGAACAUCAGUGGCGAAGGCGACUCACUGGAUUGAUAUGACG